AAGGCCAGAGUUAUAGGCAGGUAAAGGGAGAGGAAGGGGCUGCCCAUUGGAACCAUUGUUCUCAAUGCAUUUCUAUUGUUCUGCUGCAGGUCACUGUCCUCGGAAGCUGACCCUUGUGGUCAUAGCCCAAGGUGGUACCAUAAUUCCAACAAGAGCCAACACUUAUUCUUCCUGUGUGGCCAGAGCUGAGCUAAGCAUGUUCUAUGCCUCAUCUCAUUAAUCCUCACAAAAUCCUAUGAGAUGAGGAAACUGAGGUUCGGAAGUGGCUUGCCCAAGGUUUCACCGUGACUGACAGAGCUGGGCCGAAAAGCCAAGCAUUUGGAGGCCUCCCCACUCUCACUGUCUCAGAUGAAAUGCGCCUGCCCCAGGGUUGUCUGGGGAAACAAACAGGAGGUUGUGCUUGUAUCUUAAUAAGCAUGAAAUGCCUCUUCCACCACCGCUCACCGCAGGAUUUGAUGUGUCCUUGUGUUUACAGAUAAGCCAGUCAAGAGGGCAAUGGGAAUUAUUUGAGGGUACGUAUGUGGAUGUACCCCUGGAAAAACAUGUCAUUAUACUUAUGGGUUUAUGUCAUUAGGAAAAAAUGUCAUAAUGUGAUUAACACUCAUAAUCUCAUUAUGGUCAUAAGGUCAUUAUUACUCAUCCCUUCCUAGAAUCUUCCAAACCUCUGGUGAUUUCACAAGGGAAGGGCGGGAACUCUGUUCCUCUUGGUGGCUACUGUCAUUGGAUCUCUGACCCUUGGAGUCUAUGUCAAAGGAGACCCGCCCUCAUUCAGGUUCUGAGCAGCAAGACCUAAUGGCACAGGGGACAGCUUUUGCUAUGGGGCAUGGAGGGUCUGAUGAGGGCUCCAGGGGUCUCAGGUCACAGAGGAAAAUGCUGUUCUGAACUCUAGCCUUGGGCCACACAGAAGAUGUCACAUGGUCUCUGUAACUUUCUCUCCAUCAUAGGGACAGUGACAACAACUAACACAGCACCUACCCCAUUCUGGGCUUCCUAUGGAUUAUCUCCUUUAAUCCUCGUGACAACUCUGUGAUAUGAAAAAAGUGCUGCAUGGAGAGACCUAGUAAUGUGUCCAAGGUGUCACAGUCAUUAAGUGGGAGAGCUGACAUUUGAUCCCAGGCAGGCGUCAGCCUAUGCCAUCCCGUCUCUCCAAGGCAGCCACACACCCUGGGAUGACAGAUGGGGAAACUGAGGCCCAGAGAGGCGUAACCUGGCCCAGAGUCCCACCGUUAGUGAGAAACCAGAACUACAAGCCAGGACUCCUGACUGUAGGCCUCUAUUAUUUUCCCCAAUACCUCCUAGAGCUUAUUAUAAAUCGGAUGGGAGAAGGGAUCACUCCUGGUAGGGAGUCACGCCGACCCGGCAGAAACUCCGGUGAGUUCCAGCUGUGAUGAGCAGAGGUCACGGACAAAGAAGAGGAUAAGUGAACAACGUUGCAGAACCUUGUGGGCCUUUAUAAUUCAUCUAUAAUUCAGAAUUAGCUUUCACUGAGCACUUACUAAGUGCCAGGCCCUUUGGUAAAUCAACUCAUUGAAUUCACACUAAAUUCUGUUACUCCAUUUUUCUGCAGGUGAUGGUAUUGAAGCUUUGAGAAGUCAGUUAAGUUGUUCAAGGGAACCCAAUUCCAGAUCCAGAGGCCACAUGUAGUUUCCCCAAGAGGGCAGAGAUUGGGCCUUCCCCUCCUCUUCAUCCUCCCUCAGUGCCUGCCUGGCACAGACACUCCAUCCAUGCCAUGUACUGACAUUGAUGGGCCAACACACUGAACCAUUGAUUGACUACAGCUUGUGUCUCAGCCAGUAUAGUGGUUAUUUGCAAGGCUGCUUUAUGUAGCAUGGUUCAGGCCAUUUGAGCCCCCAGCUCAGAAAUGAGCACCAGCUGGUGAGCAGGCCAAGCGCCCAGGGAAAGGC
rnacentral:lncRNA from 1 species